rnacentral:rRNA from 1 species
GGGGAACUGAAACAUCUAAGUACCCCGAGGAAAAGAAAUCAACCGAGAUUCCCCCAGUAGCGGCGAGCGAACGGGGAGGAGCCCAGAGCCUGAAUCAGUGUGUGUGUUAGUGGAAGCGUCUGGAAAGGCGCGCGAUACAGGGUGACAGCCCCGUACACAAAAAUGCACAUGCUGUGAGCUCGAUGAGUAGGGCGGGACACGUGGUAUCCUGUCUGAAUAUGGGGGGACCAUCCUCCAAGGCUAAAUACUCCUGACUGACCGAUAGUGAACCAGUACCGUGAGGGAAAGGCGAAAAGAACCCCGGCGAGGGGAGUGAAAAAGAACCUGAAACCGUGUACGUACAAGCAGUGGGAGCACGCUUAGGCGUGUGACUGCGUACCUUUUGUAUAAUGGGUCAGCGACUUAUAUUCUGUAGCAAGGUUAACCGAAUAGGGGAGCCGAAGGGAAACCGAGUCUUAACUGGGCGUUAAGUUGCAGGGUAUAGACCCGAAACCCGGUGAUCUAGCCAUGGGCAGGUUGAAGGUUGGGUAACACUAACUGGAGGACCGAACCGACUAAUGUUGAAAAAUUAGCGGAUGACUUGUGGCUGGGGGUGAAAGGCCAAUCAAACCGGGAGAUAGCUGGUUCUCCCCGAAAGCUAUUUAGGUAGCGCCUCGUGAAUUCAUCUCCGGGGGUAGAGCACUGUUUCGGCAAGGGGGUCAUCCCGACUUACCAACCCGAUGCAAACUGCGAAUACCGGAGAAUGUUAUCACGGGAGACACACGGCGGGUGCUAACGUCCGUCGUGAAGAGGGAAACAACCCAGACCGCCAGCUAAGGUCCCAAAGUCAUGGUUAAGUGGGAAACGAUGUGGGAAGGCCCAGACAGCCAGGAUGUUGGCUUAGAAGCAGCCAUCAUUUAAAGAAAGCGUAAUAGCUCACUGGUCGAGUCGGCCUGCGCGGAAGAUGUAACGGGGCUAAACCAUGCACCGAAGCUGCGGCAGCGACGCUGAUGCGUUGUUGGGUAGGGGAGCGUUCUGUAAGCCUGCGAAGGUGUGCUGUGAGGCAUGCUGGAGGUAUCAGAAGUGCGAAUGCUGACAUAAGUAACGAUAAAGCGGGUGAAAAGCCCGCUCGCCGGAAGACCAAGGGUUCCUGUCCAACGUUAAUCGGGGCAGGGUGAGUCGACCCCUAAGGCGAGGCCGAAAGGCGUAGUCGAUGGGAAACAGGUUAAUAUUCCUGUACUUGGUGUUACUGCGAAGGGGGGACGGAGAAGGCUAUG